UUUUUUUUUUUUUUGAAAUUUUUCAUAUCUUAAUGCACAUUUUCUAGUAGACAUUUUUUUUAAGUGAAAGAAGAGUAAACAAGCAAACAUUUAUGCUAGAUAAUUAGAAGAAAACAACAAUAAUAUUUAAAAAAGAAACAAUAACAAUUGAAUAACACAACUGAUUGAGAAGAGAAGAGGAAGAAAAAACCUGGAUAUUUGAGAACUUUAAUUUGAUGGAUUGAAG
rnacentral:lncRNA from 1 species